GACAGAGGCCUCGAGCGUUUAGGCGGAAUCACUGGGCUUAAAGCGUGUGUAGGCGGAUGCCUAAGUACCUUGUGAAAUCCCACGGCUCACCCGUGGAACCGCUGGGUAUACUGGGCAUCUUGGGCCAUUCAGGGGCAACUGGAACAAGCGGUGGAGCGGUGAAAUGCGUAGAUAUCGGGAGGAACACCUGUGGCGAAGGCGGCCCCCUGGUUGGAUACUGACGCUGAUACGCGAAAGCGUGGG
rnacentral:rRNA from 1 species